rnacentral:rRNA from 1 species
GACGGACGCUGGCGGCGUGCUUAACACAUGCAAGUCGAACGGUAAGGCCCUUCGGGGUACACGAGUGGCGAACGGGUGAGUAACACGUGGGUGAUCUGCCCUGCACUUCGGGAUAAGCCUGGGAAACUGGGUCUAAUACCGGAUAGGACCACUGCCUGCAUGGGUGGUGGUGGAAAGCUUUUGCGGUGUGGGAUGGGCCCGCGGCCUAUCAGCUUGUUGGUGGGGGGAUGGCCUACCAAGGCGACGACGGGUAGCCGGCCUGGGAGGGUGACCGGCCACACUGGGACUGAGGUACGGCCCAGACUCCAACGGGAGGCAGCAGUGGGGAAUAUUGCGCAAUGGGCGCAAGCCUGAUGCAGCGACGCCGCGUGAGGGGUGACGGCCUUCGGGUUGUAAACCUCUUUCAGCACCGACGAAGCGCAAGUGACGGUAGGUGCAGAAGAAGGACCGGCCAACCACGUGCCAGCCGCCGCAGUAA